rnacentral:tRNA from 4 species
GACCCCAUCGUCUAGUGGCCUAGGACACAGGGUUUUCAUCCCUGUAAUCAGGGGUUCGAAUCCCCUUGGGGUCACCA